rnacentral:rRNA from 1 species
CCUACGGGGGGCAGCAGUGGGGAAUAUUGGACAAUGGGGGGAACCCUGAUCCAGCGACGCCGCGUGAGUGAAGAAGUAUUUCGGUAUGUAAAGCUCUAUCAGCAGGGAAGAAAGAAAUGACGGUACCUGACUAAGAAGCCCCGGCUAACUACGUGCCAGCAGCCGCGGUAAUACGUAGGGGGCAAGCGUUAUCCGGAUUUACUGGGUGUAAAGGGAGCGUAGACGGCGAUGCAAGUCUGAAGUGAAAGGCGGGGGCCCAACCCCCGGACUGCUUUGGAAACUGUAUGGCUGGAGUGCAGGAGAGGUAAGUGGAAUUCCUAGUGUAGCGGUGAAAUGCGUAGAUAUUAGGAGGAACACCAGUGGCGAAGGCAGCAUACCGGCGCUCAACUGACGCUCAUGCACGAAAGUGUGGGUAUCGAACAGGAUUAGAUACCCGUGUAGUC